UUAACAAGCAUGAAAUUUUUUCACACUAUAAAGCUACCAAAUGAUUCUUAUUUCUAGAUUCAUAAAAGUAAAAAUAUGGUUAAAGUUUAUAUGUUUAUUUAUGCGGUUAUCUUUUUUUCCAUAUUAAUUUCUAUAGAAAAUAGCGUGUUCCUCAUGUGCCGAACUAACGAGGAUUGUCGAUAUAUUCAGUGUUUUGAUGAUGGUGAAAUUCGAGCCUGUGGGUUUCCAUUUCAUGUGACCGGAUCUGAGGGAUUUGGAGUUUGUGAAUGUUAUGAGAAGGUCCCAGGUACAUUGCACAAAAUUAGUGGCUUGUGAAUGUAUACUUAUGUAUAAAGCAGUAAAAUUUAAUUAAAAUAAAAAUAAAAUUAUGUUGCUGCUA